rnacentral:tRNA from 1 species
ACAAUAGCUCAGUUGGCAGAGCGUUGGCUUCCCAAGCCGAAGGUCGCGGGUUCGAGCCCCGUUUGUC